AACUUAAUAGUUGUCAUUCAUAUAAUAGCGGAAAUAGGGUCCGCGAGUUUCUACCGAAUAACCGUAAAUUAUUUGACUAUGGGUGAGC
rnacentral:ncRNA from 1 species